rnacentral:lncRNA from 1 species
AUGAGCAUCUAUUCGACUUUCAACAAACCUUUUCAUCCACAUGUUGGCUUUCUAUGUUUAAAAUAGUUGAAAACAUCAACCGCUAUUUCCCUUACAGGACAAUAUUCAGGGUUGACCAACAUAUCUCAUGUUCAUGUCAAUCAGGAAACAAUUUCUGAUUGUCAGAGCAUUGCGGAAUUCAAAGGGUAUACCUGACCCAAUUUCUGACCUCAGGGGAAGAAUAGACAAUGCUCGCAGAAGAGAAGAUGUACAACGUGGGCAGGAAAGGGGAAAUUUCUGGGAUUGGAGUUUGACUCCAGAAGUUGGGGAUUUCAGUAAGGUGGGUCAAAAGGCUGCAGUCAAGAAGAAGCAGUUACCCGAGUUGUUCCAACUUCCUGCUGGCCUUUGUGAAUGAACUGAGGUGGGUUCCUUGUCAUGGGGCUAUCCUAGGAGAGGAAGUGGAUUUACCAGCAAAGUGCAGUGAUUCCUGAGAAACUCUUACUGAAGCUCCAGGGCCACAUGGGUGCCCAGGCCAUAGCUCCCACCAGGCCUCUGUCAAGACCAAGUCCAGACAAAACUUGCUGUUGAGAAGGGGACCCUCACUCUGCACCAGGUUUUAUUCUCUUUAGCUCAGGACUCAGCAGAUCCAAGCUGUAGAUUGGAGAUAUAAACAGACAAGGUUGAGAAAGGCAAGAGGCAAGGCAACCCAGGUGCCCUAUGCGACUGACUUGCCAGGGAGAGCAGAUCCCGGGUCUCAUUUCUUUCUCCUUCCCCAGCAUCCACAAAGCCCUGCAUGUUGUUUCAGUAAUAAAACCUCAAAUUUUUUAGCACUGUUAUUUCAUUGAACUUACCCAGUUUCUGUGCCACAGGUACUAUUAUUUUUCCUACUUUCCAGAUAAAGAAAUUUAGGGAGGGAAAGUGACCUGCUUGAGGUUACUGCAAGCAACUAGUAGUCCGAGGCUCAGGCUGCGUGGUGCUCUUAGAUCUCACCAUAAGAGAUGUCAACAAUUUGAAUAUCCAGUGCCUUUUCAAGAGGGGUGGAGUUAUUGCUCAUAUUAAUGGCAAAAGAGGAGAGAAUGUGCCUUCUUUUCCAAAUAAAAGAAAACCAGACCAAAAAACACCUGCAUACAAAUGCUCACACGUGGGACCAGGCAUCACAUUUAUCAUCACUGAAAGGUGCCUGAACUGCAGAAAUCUUUUUGAGCAAUAAGCUUGUCCUGGAAUGUUGCCCUUCUUCACAAUGGUCUUCAAGGCAUAAGUAUUCCCUGCAAGCCCAGAGUAUUUUAAUGCAUGUUUUAUAUAAGUAGCCAUUAGGCAAAUGUUUUAAGUGGCUCCAGUAAGCUACUUUUACCACAUAUAGCCUGCUUUUUCAAAAAACAAGAACGAUUAAGAGCAACAACGUAAAUCAGCUAUUUAGUCCACAAAAUUCCAUUUUGUAUAAUAGAAUUAUGAGAGUGUAUGUUUCAACAAUCUAUUUAUUAAAAGAAUUUAGAGAAAAAUUGCUGCCUUGAGUAUGUUUUUUAGUCCCUCAUAGUGUCUAGCACAGGAGCUUGCAACAAAGUAAUGAAAUGCUCAGUAAAUGUUUCACUGGCUAAAUGUAGUUAGCAACACCUUCAUUAGUGUAAAUAUCAGUUAGCUUCUAAAUGAGAUGUCUUUCUUAGACACCUAUCAUAAGGUUACUCUUCAUUGCUCAUAAGAUGCAGAUUUUUAGCAUCCUGUUCAAAGUUAUUUGAAAUCUGGCUCCAGCCCACCUUACCAACUUCCUUCCCUGUAUACUGCAACUACAUGAUGUUGACUUAUCCCUUCAAAAUGCUUGAACUUUCUUGCCUCCAUGCUUUUGUUCAUUUUUGCUUUUUCUACCUAACAUGUUCUUUUUCCCUUGUCUGUUACAAUCCCUUCAAAACCAAAUUCAAAUUCAAUUUCCUCUGCGAAGCCAUAUCCAGUUGUUACCACUCAGAAUAAACUCUACCCUCUCUUUGGCCCGGGUUAUAAACUGUGUGUAAUUCUAAUGUAGCACUUACCACAGUCUCCUGUAGGUUCCAGUUAGGUGUGUAUAUUUUGCUCCACAUUCCACCAUUCUCUGCUUCUUGAAGACACAGCCUCUUGCCUUGUGUUCUUUUGAAUUUUCCAGUUACCAAGAGACUCACUUAUAUUAAAUGCUCAAGAAAUAUUUAUUUAAGGCAGUGGUUUUGGAACUGGGCU